GUUCUGCUGCGGCGUUGGUGACUGCCUUUAUGUUUUUUUGAUCUGUAAAUCUCAGUAUCCGGGAACCAGAGAAACUUCGAGUGGCAGUAUACCGGACUUAGUAUCCGGAAACUUAAAGCUCGACAAAGGUACCCACCUAAAAGGCAUAUUGAGGUCAAAAACUGGGGUAAGACGGCGUUGCGGUAAACCU
rnacentral:other from 1 species